AUCUUAGCGGCGGACGGGUGAGUAAUGCUUAGGAAUCUGCCUAUUAGUGGGGGACAACAUUCCGAAAGGAAUGCUAAUACCGCAUACGUCCUACGGGAGAAAGCAGGGGAUCUUCGGACCUUGCGCUAAUAGAUGAGCCUAAGUCGGAUUAGCUAGUUGGUGGGGUAAAGGCCUACCAAGGCGACGAUCUGUAGCGGGUCUGAGAGGAUGAUCCGCCACACUGGGACUGAGACACGGCCCAGACUCCUACGGGAGGCAGCAGUGGGGAAUAUUGGACAAUGGGGGGAACCCUGAUCCAGCCAUGCCGCGUGUGUGAAGAAGGCCUUAUGGUUGUAAAGCACUUUAAGCGAGGAGGAGGCUACUGAGACUAAUACUCUUGGAUAGUGGACGUUACUCGCAGAAUAAGCACCGGCUAACUCUGUGCCAGCAGCCGCGGUAAUACAGAGGGUGCGAGCGUUAAUCGGAUUUACUGGGCGUAAAGCGUGCGUAGGCGGCUUUUUAAGUCGGAUGUGAAAUCCCCGAGCUUAACUUGGGAAUUGCAUUCGAUACUGGGAAGCUAGAGUAUGGGAGAGGAUGGUAGAAUUCCAGGUGUAGCGGUGAAAUGCGUAGAGAUCUGGAGGAAUACCGAUGGCGAAGGCAGCCAUCUGGCCUAAUACUGACGCUGAGGUACGAAAGCAUGGGGAGCAAACAGGAUUAGAUACCCUGGUAGUCCAUGCCGUAAACGAUGUCUACUAGCCGUUGGGGCCUUUGAGGCUUUAGUGGCGCAGCUAACGCGAUAAGUAGACCGCCUGGGGAGUACGGUCGCAAGACUAAAACUCAAA
rnacentral:rRNA from 1 species